rnacentral:piRNA from 1 species
UCCUGUUUUAAACCGAAUGGCACGAAAU